UACGGGAGGCAGCAGUGGGGAUAUUGCACAAUGGGCGCAAGCCUGAUGCAGCCAUGCCGCGUGUAUGAAGAAGGCCUUCGGGUUGUAAAGUACUUUCAGUCGUGAGGAAGGUGUUAAGGUUAAUAACCUUAGCAAUUGACGUUAGCGACAGAAGAAGCACCGGCUAACUCCGUGCCAGCAGCCGCGGUAAUACGGAGGGUGCGAGCGUUAAUCGGAAUUACUGGGCGUAAAGGGCACGCAGGCGGUUAAUUAAGUUGGAUGUGAAAUCCCCGGGCUUAACCUGGGAAUGGCAUUCAAGACUGGUUAGCUAGAGUCUUGUAGAGGGGGUAGAAUUCCAUGUGUAGCGGUGAAAUGCGUAGAGAUGUGGAGGAAUACCGGUGGCGAAGGCGGCCCCUGGGACAAAGACUGACGCUCAUGUGCGAAAGCGUGGGGAGCAAACAGGGAUUAGAUACC
rnacentral:rRNA from 1 species